rnacentral:rRNA from 1 species
GACAUGGCUCAGAACGAACGCUGGCGGCAGGCUUAACACAUGCAAGUUGAACGGGAUUUGUGUGGUGCUUGCACCAUAUAAUGAGAGUAGCGCACUGGUGAGUAACACGUGGGAACGUGCCUUUUAGUGGGGGAUAACAUCUGGAAACGGAUGCUAAUACCGCAUACGCCCUGAGGGGGAAAGAUUUAUUGCUAAGAGGUCGGCCCGCGGUAGAUUAGGCAGUUGGUGGGGUAAAGGCCUACCAAACCUACGA